rnacentral:lncRNA from 1 species
CUAAAGCCUUGUGACCCCUUAGGAGGCUGGUGAUUUCCUCACAAGGAGGACCUAAGAGCACCAAGAAGCAUAGUGAGCUCCUUAGAGGGAACGUUUCACUGACGGUGUGAUCUGAUGGGUUGAGCAUGAACAUUCUGCAGCACAGACCGGGUUCCUCCAGGCCUUGGAGGGGCUGAUCUUCCAGCUCCUGGGAGCCUGUCAGUGUCUCAGGGCUUCUGGGAGCAGGCCCUGCACAGAGCAUGAGCCUGUCGAUGGAGACAUCGACAUAGAGAUGAGACAUGGAAAGACUCUCCUGAGACCUUCUAGUCUCUGAUUUGGGGAUCUUCCUGAGACACAACUGCUUUCCCGACAGUGGGUGCAGAAAGAAACC